rnacentral:rRNA from 1 species
GAUUUCUGGCUUGGUGCUCUCUGUCCGCCGCCGUUAGGCGUGUGAGUACGGAGGUGUGCCUGCCAUCCUUCCGGGGAGGCCGUCUGCCCUUCACUGGGUCGGGCGGUCGACCUGGAUCGUUUACUUUGAAAAAAUUAGAGUGUUUAAAGCAGGCGUUUGCUUCUGAAUACAUUAGCAUGGAAUAAUAAAAUAGGACUUUGGUUCUAUUUUGUUGGUUUCUAGGACUGAAGUAAUGAUUGAUAGGGACAGUUGGGGGUGCUAGUAUUCGGCGGCCAGAGGUGAAAUUCUUGGAUUCGCUGAAGACUAACUAAUGCGAAAGCAUU